rnacentral:rRNA from 1 species
AACACGUUGAUAUUUGCCCCCCAGUCAGGGAUAAUCCAGAGAAAUUUGGACUAAUACCGGAUAGUCUCUUUGGAGUAAAGAUUUAUUGCUGGGGGAGAAGUCUGCGGUCUAUCAGCUAGUUGGUAAGGUAAAAGCUUACCAAGGCAAUGACGGAUAUCUGGUCUGAGAGGAUGAUCAGGCACAAUGGAACUGAGACACGGUCCAUACUCCUACGGGAGGCAGCAGUGAGGAAUCUUCCACAAUGGACGAAAGUCUGAUGGAGCGACACCGCGUGAAGGAUGAAUGUCUAACGAUUGUAAACUUCUUUUCUGAGGGAGCAUAAUGAGAGUACCUCAGGAAUAAGGGGCGGCUAAAUACGUGCCAGCAGCCGCGGUAAUACGUAUGUCCCGAGCAUUACCCGGAAUCACUGGGUGUAAAGGGUUCGUAGGUGGAAAGGUAAGUUAGAUAUUAAAGACCGAAGCUCAACUUCGAGUUUGUAUUUAAAACUGUUUUUCUAGAAUUAGGGAGAGGUAAGCGGAAUUUUAAGUGUAGGGGUGCAAUCCGUAGAUACUUAAAAGAACACCAAAAGCGAAGGCAGCUUACUGGAACUGAAUUGACGCUGAGGAACGAAAGCGUGGGUAGCGAAAAGGAUUAGAUACCCUUGUAGUCCACGCCCUAAACGAUGAUAACUAAGUGUUGGGACUAGAUCUCAGUGCUGAAGCUAACGCAUUAAGUUAUCCACCUGAGGAGUACGGUCGCAAGAUUAAAACUCAAAGGAAUAGACGGGGACCCACACAAGCAGUGGNUCACGUGGUUUAAUUCGAUAAUAAACGGGGAACCUUACCAGACUUGACAUCCUNAGAAUUUUUANAANUAAAAAGUGUCUUUAUUGAAACUUANUGACAGNGCUGCAUNNNGUCGUCAGCUCGUGCCUUGAGGNGUUCGGNUAAGUCCGUNCGAGCGUAACCCAUGUUUUAGUU